rnacentral:misc_RNA from 1 species
ACGAAGACAAAAAAACCAUUCUUACAAUUAUUUGGCCUAGAGGGAAC